UCCCUGGUGGCUCAGAGGGUAAAGCGUCUGCCUGAAAUGCAGGAGACCCAGGUUCAAUCCCUGCGUGGGGAA
rnacentral:tRNA from 1 species